CUUUCACUGUUUGCUGCAACCAGUGCCGUUCAGGACUGCUGCAUGCAGGCAGUAGCAGUACUUUCACAGUCUUGUACCAGGAGCAUAGUCAGAAUCUCACAAAAUAUGUUUAAGGAAGCAAAAUUGCGAGGCAGGAUACUCCUUGUUACGCUGGAUUCUGGAUCCCUUCCCAGCCUCCUGUAGAUUUUGGAAAGUCUCCCAUUCAGCUGCCAUGUGGAAGGCUUUGAACUUAAAAUGGGAACAGGCACAGCACACCCAGGGCUGGGGGUGGCUGGCAGUCCUCCCUCCCUCUUGCCCUUCCCUCCCCAGUGUGACCACCGCAAAUCCAUCCUAGAGCCCUGAGAGCUUGGGGAGAAGCCUUAGGAAAAUGUGUUCCAGUACUACAGUAAAGUGUCCUGCUUCAACAGGUGACACCAGGAUUUCUCUGUAAAAAAAUCACAAAUAGCUUCCCCUUCAAGAAAUGGACAUUUUGGUGGAGAAAAUGACACCUGUGCAUCAGCUCCCCUCUGAUUAUAAAUGUGUCUUAAGUCAGAAG